AUUUGGUUGAUUGGAUUCUCUGUAAUUCAUUCUGGGAGAUGGAAAAUGAGGGUUGGAUUAUAAUAAUUUGAGAUACAGCAGCUCCUUUGAUAGAGUUAGCUAGAGGUCUAGUGGCAACCCAAACACAAGUUGUAGAACUAUUCAAGUAAGCAUGACUACAUGAGGCGCAAGGCAUCCACCAUGAAUUCUGAUUCAAGUUCUCCAAGUGUGCAACAAUCAAAUGAUCAAGAAGAUAUUAACAUAUGGUAUGAGGUUGUAGGGGGUAAGAACAAGAAGGGCCGCAUGUAUGGGUUUGGAUCUGAGGCUGAAGAUAUUAGUUCUUCCUCUUAUGUAACUUCUUCUUCCAUC